UCGGAGUUCGGGGCUCGGAGUUCGGGGCUCGGAGUUCGGGGCUCGGAGUUCGGGGCUCGGAGUUCGGAGUUCGGAGUUCGGAACUCGGAACUCGGAAC
rnacentral:tRNA from 1 species